GCCCUCUGGUGGCCAUCUUGAGAGCCUGGGGCGCACAGUCCCCAGACCAGAGCGGGAGGGGUGACCCAGAUCCACAGACCCUAUGCGCGUGUCUUCUUGAUUGCACAAAGGAAGCAUACUUUCGUUGACACUUAAUUCCUGGGAAGCCAGUGGGGAACUCUUGGACCACUAAAUGGGUUCAGAAAGUGCUCCCACGGAGGAAGGGUAGGAAGCUGCAAAUCUGGAGGGGCGAGGAGGCGGUGAGGAAUGUGCAGCCGACCCCUGCAGAGGAGCCAGCUGCUGCCGGAAAAAGUUGGACCAUCUGGAAGACCCUCCGUGUGGGCAUAAAGGCUCAAGAAUGACGACAGCACAGACCCCCUCGCUGAAAUAGAAUGUGCUGUCUGGAAAACUGAAAAGACAGGGGACAGGGUACCGGUACGGGUACUGGACGCGAAGUGGGGUUGAAAUUCUUAAAGUCCCCACCCACACAAGGGUCUUUGUCCUCAUGUAUCUAGGAAAGUUCCCUCUGGUCACUACUGCAAAGCCAGCCCUGCUGUUCAGCCCCCACCCCCUGCGGGGCCCGCAUCUGCCCCUCUCUCUGGAACAUCAAAAGGUUUCUCA
ensembl:lincRNA